rnacentral:tRNA from 3 species
AGGGAUGUAGCCAAGCGGUUACGGCACGAGGUUUUGAUUCUCGCAUGCGCAGGUUCGAGUCCUGCCAUCCCUG